GUCCUCUGGAAGAAGCUUUCUGCAGAAAUAAUCCAGCAGACACAAGACAACGGAGGACCACACUGGCCCGCCACGCCCCCAUCCUGUGCCUAUAAAAACCCGAGACCCUAGCGGGCAGACACACAAGCUGCUGGACGUCUUGACGUACACAUCCAUGGAAGAAGAUACAAGUGGCUGGACAGCGAGAGGACGUCGAGGGAGCACGCUCGCGGAAGGGCACACUGGCAUGCAGGCGGGUAGUCGACCAGUGGAACUAGGCUGAGUUUGGCCUGGGCAGUCAGAGGAGAGCUGGGGCCGCCUAGCGACCCAACUCCAGAGAAAGACCAUCUCCCUUCUCGCUCCCCCAUCUACUGAGGGCUACUUCCACUCAAUAAAACUUCAUACUCAUUCUCCAA